UGCCCGCCUCGGCCUCCCAAAAUGCUGGGAUUAAAGGCGUGAGCCACUGUGCCUGACCCAGAUGGAAUAUUUUAAAUGGGCAGUGGCACCUUCUUUAGCUUUGAGAGAAGAGAAACAUGGAGGUCACUGGUGGGCUUAACUAAGGAUAGGAGAGAGAGGGAAAUUAGAGAGGGAGUUAGAAAAGAAACAAGAAGAAAAAGAAGUAAAGGGAUCAAUAAAGAAGGAAGGACACAUUAAAAGAGAAAGAAAAAAAGUGGCUUAAGGAGGAGGCAAGAAAAGAGUGACAUUAUUUAGAAUUGAAACUCAAGUUAUGGGGAUGAUCAAUGAAAGACAAUUUAAUUUGUAAAAUAUAUUCAGAGGUCAAAGGGGUCCCAGAAAAAAGGUGUUUAGGAAUAUCUAACUCAGUGGCGAGAUGUUUUGGUGAAUUUGAUGAAAUUCAUGGACAAAAAAAUGCAUGUAAAUUACAACUUCUCUGUACAAUUUUAUGGAGUUUAUAGAUUUCCUAAAGCCAAUUCCUGGAUCCCCUCUUAGGAGAUCUUGUUUUAUGUGUUUUUAUACAUCGUUCUGAGACAGCGACAUAUGUAAUUUCCUCAGGAAGAUCUGAAAGUCAAAACAAAGAGUUUACUAAUAUUUUCUUGGUGUCUUCUCCAUGGCAUGAAUAUCACUUUUCAAAUCUAGCUGUGAGCAUAUUUAAAUAUUUAGUCAAUUUUUUUUCUUUUUUAGGAAGUUACUAUUAGUAAAUGGUCCAAGGGCUCUGGGCCCAACAAAAGAAGACCGUGACUUUGAAGAACAAAAUUUGCCUUUGGAGUGUUAGACUUUUUCAGGCUGGAUGGCAGAGGUCCAUUGGCGUCUCCUCAAGUGACAAGGCCAUGGGUCAAAUGUAGAAGACAGUGUGACAAAACGUAGAAGGGGGACACCAUGACGAAAAGCACAAGACCUAACGCUCAGUUUCCCAAAAGAAACCUGAACAGAAGCACUGAAGAGGGGGAAGGGAGUAAGUAUUUGCUGAAAACAGAUUCGUACCCCCUCUAAACCGAUUUACAGAAAAACAACAGAGAUGGUCAAAGUGAGUGUUGGAGAAGUAGAUUAAAAAUUAUGAUAAAUGUGGGUGGAGACGUGAACGUUUUCUUGAUUAUGUGGAAUUGCCUGUUUUAUGGGUUUUGAAGACUUCUUACAUGAAGCAACUUUAAGAAAGGUCAUUUAACUGUAAUAGUUUCUUAGCUAAAUUAAGUAUACUUUCUUCUUAGCUGGACUCAGAAAACUGGGCCAAGGAGGGAAACUAUUCUCUCUUGGGGAAGCCCCACUUGCUUUUGUUGGAAGCUCUGAAAAGCUUUCAGAUCAAUUGUUCCCUCUGGGUGUCGGGUAUCUUCCAGGGAAACUGACUCCUUUUUCUGAGUGUUUUCUGGGUCCAGUUGCUGGGUGCCCUCAGAGAUGGAGCAUGUUCAUUGCCUGCUCUUCAAAGUGUUAGGAUAGUGUAUGUGUGCAGGGAAUGGGUGGGUGGAUGUUUUUAUCCCCCUCGACAACAAAGUGCAAGAGGGACAAGAGAAAUCUACUUCUAAAUUUGAAAGGUGAGUAUUAAAUUUUAUUCCAAUUAUCUGUUUAUAAUAAUCUAAGGCAGCUUCUGUCUGGGUUAGCUCUGCACAGUGCCACAGAAAAGGUCAAACCAUUUCAUUUUCUAUUUUCUAAGUACAUAGAGGUGGCUUUUCUUACGUUGUUUGACCAAGGUGCCUUCCUUUCUCCUCAUCUCACAGAAGGAGGUUCAGAUGUGUUGCUUGUCAGAUGUGGGAAGGCCCUUUCUACCUCAGACUGAUGCCCCCAUGUUGAGUUGCUCCAGGAUAGGGGAGGUGAUUGAGACGCUGAAAGUUAAAAGACCAGUCACAUAAGAUUAAUUAGAAGAAAAAGAUAAAGAGACUUCAUGACAACACAUUGUGGCAGGCCUAAUAGUCAUAUCCACACAUCUGAAGGAUUGUGAUGAAGAAGAGCAGGAGUCGAGUUAUUUUAUAUUGCUCCAAAGAACAGGACUGUGGAAGUUGCAGGGGACAGAUAUUGGCACAGUACGAAAAACCAUCCUAUCAGGAGAAUUGCCAAGAAUCCAGCAGGCUUCCUGAAGUAGCAAACUUUUGUCUCCAUGUGUGUUUAAGCAGGGAGAGGACAAGCGCCUGCAGGAUGGAGUUGGUAGAACUCUACUUUGGGAGAGAAGUCUCAAGGAUUCUAAGCAUCCUUCCUUUUGUCUUGCUUUCUUUACAUUUCCUUCUGGUGCAUUGGGAAUAAUUGCUUUCGUCUACUUUGUAGGAGCUAGGAAGGAGUCAGGGAAAGCUUUCUACAUGCUUUGAGCUCUGUUGGUUAAAAUUGCUUUGCAAAUAGAGUGCUACAACUUGGGGAUGCUCUUCUGGGGCUUCUUGUUGUCAAUUUUAGCAAGUAUUAUUUCUGAAUCAUUGUGUGCUCUCCUAGCAUCUGUCCUCUAAGGAUGCUACUUUUCAGUUAUCUCUGAAGGUGGCCCGAGGGGACACACUCUUUACUUUUUUUGUUGUUUCUGUGCUGUCUUUUUUCUUGGGUACCCCUUUCCUGUUUCCUCGGGAUGCUGAGAAUGUGUUGGACAAGUGCAAGUAAAUGAAGCAGAGUCAGCUUAGAAAUAAACAUUCUUUCC